CUAGGCUCCAAGCUGUCAGCACGGAGCCCAAUGCGGCACUGGGACUUGGGAAGAGCGAGAUCAUGACCUGAGCCGAAGCCUGACCCUUAACUGAUGGAGCCCACCAGGCACCCCUGGAUCCGAAGGUACGUUGUAAUGAUGCAAGCAAAGCCCAAAAGCAUGUGUGUAUUUGCCAUUUGCCAUAAUGAGGGGCAAUUCUUUUGGAAAAGCCCUUCUAAGCUUCUUUAAUUUUUGAUUGUCUUUUUUUUUUUUCUUCUCAGACCAUUUUAUGUGGGGUUUACCGAAAAUGAUCACCUCAGGGGACUUGUGGCAGCACAGAAACUUCCUCAACAAAACCCUAGGUGUUCACUGGCAGUAGAAGUUUCUCUAUCCCUCUAGAAAACGUGUAGGUCUCCCCGGGGGGCACAGACGGUCCCGGAGUCAUGCACGAAGCUUCAGUUUCCACGCACCCUCCCCAGCUGACUCCCACAGUCACCCCGGGACAUGAGGAAUGUGGUUAUGACCAACCCCACUGCAAACAGCUGAAGCAACAGAGGUCCUUUCUCGGAGGCAUUUCGCAAUCGUUUAUUUGAAUGAUAGUUCUCUGUUUGGACUCCGCUGUAAUAUUUGUAUAUAAAUGCCUCUAUCAUGAAAACAUAAGAUGCUGAUCACCUUACACAUUAGUGCAGUCUUAUAAAUUUGAGGGGAGGUGGAGCCAGGCUGAAAUUAGGAAUAUAUUUAAAAUAACAGAUUCCACCUGAAUGUCAUCAUCUCUUUUCAGUGACUUCUUUGGGAGCCUAGAUGACCAGCAUGCACAACAGCAUGCACAACAUUCAUCUUUGAAUGUAGAAACACAAAUGGAUGGGGUGGGGGUGGGGGAACAGUGUCACAAGUCCCAGCUCUGUUGCAGAUUUGCUGUUGACUUUGGGUGGAUUGACCUUCCUUGACCUUGGACCCUACCUGCAAAUGGGAAGAACAACAUUUCCUUAUCUGUCUCCUGUUUUACCUGCCUCAAAAGAGAUAACGUGUGUGAAAAUAUUCUUGGGACUAUAAAGGAAUUAGAGUUAUUUUUUAAAUAUACUCUCCAAGUAGAUAGUUUUUCCCUAGUCAACAUCUCUUAUUUCCCAAUUCUACUUCUAGAAUUGUUCUUUAACCACUCUGGGAUACAGCUUGAAUAAAACACUCAGAGAGUAGAUUAUAUUUUCAAUUAGAGAUUAUUUAGCUUCCUAUUUACUAUGUAACAUUAAAGGUUUUCCUCCUAAUUUAAAAAAAGUUUGAUUUUAAUACUGUUAAAGAAUAAACAUAUUAUUUCUGGAAUAUUCCUGAGUCCUAAAGAUUUUAGCAUUGUAUUAGUUCUCUGCCAAAGCCCUGCAUAAAUACAGUAAAUAAUUUGGCUUUAAACUCAAAACGUCCAUUGAAAAUUUUUUUUAUGUUUAUUUCUUUUUGAGACAGGGACAGAAAGAGACACAGCAUGAGUGCGGGAGGGGCAGAGAGAGAAGGAGACACAGAAUCUGAAGCAGGCUCCAGGCUCUGAGCUGUCAGCACAGAGCCUGACAUGGGUCAUGAACCCACGAACCAUGAGAUCAUGACCUGAGUUGAAGUCGGACACUUAACCAACUGAGCCACCCGGGCACCCUUCAAAAUGUCCAUUUUAAGUAUUGCUAGUGGUAGGCCUGGCUUAUGUUCCUUCUUUUAAGGCAGAUUCUUUCAUGGUACAGAUAGCAAGGACUGAGGCCUUGACCAAGAAAGACUUCAGAUUAAUCUUCCAGGGCUGGAACCAAACAUUGAGACUUUGCCCAAACUGGGCAAUAUAACGUCUUCAUCUGUGCUCAGUGUCUCAUGGAAAUGCAUUUAAAAUGUACUAAGAUCUCUUACCAUGGCAGGUUAGAAGCUGCUAAGACAAACACGAGAUCUUCUGAGCGAGCCAGCCCAUCCAUCUGCACCAGUAACUCUGUCUUCAUCCGGAGGCUUCCUUCAUGUUCUCCCCUACAGAGAGACACAGAGAAUCCUGUUUCAUUCGGCCAAGACAGUUGGCUCAGCCUAAUGAACUGAGAGAACAGUGUCAACGCCGGGACACUCAUCACGAAUGCCUUUUAGACACGAUAGCGACGCGAUCAUUAGAAGCAAGCAACUUGUUUUCCUUGUCACAAAAAGAAAAGCCCCAGUACAGCUGAUAUUAAGGGUGAUUACAAUAGCAGCAAUCUACCCAAUGAAAAGUGGAAUAUCAGAACUCUUUCAUAGAACCAUACAUGUUUUUAAGGUGCUCCCCAAGGUGCAGAGAGACCAAGGGGCCCUAUGAGACCAAACGCCCAGUUGGAAGGAGAACCGCAUCCGGACCCUGUGUCUCCAUAUUGACCGUACCACUGCUCUUCCCGCUGCCAAAGAAUAUAUAGAACUCCAGCUCCUCCCACCACAUGAAUCUGGACUUGGCCUUGUGACUUUGGCCAAUGAGACAUCAGCAAGUAGAAGAAGAGACGUGGGAGAUGCUGUUGGAUUGGGACCUGCCCUUUCUUGCUUCUGUCUGGGAACCCUCUGUCACCAUGGGAACAAGACUCGGUCUGCCUGCCGGAGGAUGAGAGGCACGUGGAGAAGUCUCAGUCGUUCUGUUUAUUCCAGCUUUCCCAGCCACCCUGGCUGAUGCCCCGGAUGUGGGAGUGAGCCCAGCCAGUAUCAUGUGGCAAAGAGAUGAGCUGGCCCUGCUGGGCCCAGCCCAAACGGCAUACCCCCACAGGCGCACAUAAUGAACCACUCUGCACAAAGACUUGUCAGGAAUAAGCAAUGAGCGCAACACGAUGGCUUUCCUGCUGGUGCCCUGGAAGGGGCUGUCUAGUCCUUACAACCGGUCAAAGCAAAACCCCAGGUGAUGUGGGUAUUGGGGAGGGUAGGCGGUAAGAUGUAUAGAAGCAAAGUGAGAGGCCUUCUCUUACAGGAGGUAUUUCUGCUAUAAUACGUAUAUUUUUAGGGAGGCAGGCUAAUUUGAACCUAUCUAUAGCAACUGGCAAAUCAUAUAUAUUAGAGUCUUAGAUCUUAAAUGAUCACUUGAACAGACACCUGCCUUGAACCAAUAUGUAACAUGAUUCCAAAUUGCCUACAACGGACUGGGCCUUGGUACUCCAACAUUUAACCAAAUACUGUGACACAGGCAAAAAGUUAACUUGAUGGCAGAAAAACAUCCUGUCCUCUUCCUGAUGGGUGCAUGACAUACAGUUUGUCCAAUGGAUAAUGAACAGAAAUACCCCCACGAGGCUUCCCAUCCUUACCCUUAUAGGGUACACGACAGCUUCUUUGACUAACUGCUUGGCUGCAUCGAGUCCAAUAAUGUCAUCCCACUUUAUGUUUGGACUAUGGAGAUAAAUGUCCUGCAAUGCACAUUUGAUCAUUUUGUUAAAACUAGUGUUUUCCUCCACAGCUGUAAUAAACACAGGAGCAGCAGAAUACUUGACUUACAAUAGGAUGGAAAGGUGAUACAAACUUUUCAUGUUAGAUAUACGUAUAUAUGCAUAUUGUAAUCAUGGGCUAGCUCACUAAAUGGAUGUCAUGAACAUAUUCAGUGAUUUUUCCCUGAAGAAGAUAUUGGCGAUACAAUAUGGUACUUUUAAGAGGGGAAAAAAAAUCUCCUGACGAUGGACUAUACCUGUCUUCAGUUAAUAGCAAACCGUGCUGAUUUACGGCUGUAAUCAAAGAGGCUACAGAAUAUGCCUUCAAAUUACAUUGGCUUUGACUGCAAAACAUAGUUCCUAGCCAGUGCCUGGCUCCCCUUGCUCCUUGCUCUCUCAAACGCUUUCUUAAUUUGUGGCCUAAGAGAGAUCAUGCUCCUCUGAAACCAAUUUCUCUUUUUCCCUAGUGAUCACCCCUACUUUCCAUCAGGAGCAAUUGCUCCUACAAAAUUCAAGGAAGCCAACAACCGGGCAAAAGUGUGGUCUGCCCUCUCCUUGUGGAGCCCUGUAGCAACCAUCUGGGGCAAUCAAUUAAGGCCGGUUUUACUGAUAAUUCAUUUAAAGUUUCCAAACGUCAGUUUCACAAGCCCCCUCGGAACAGUCACUCAGGGCCUUUCUCAGUAGGAGCUCUUUCAGGCAAACUGAGUAACUAGUGUGUUACAUCAAAAAAAAAGAAAAAGCUCCCUCUUUCAAGUCAUUCUGAGUGACUACAGAACAAUCUGGAAACUAGUUGUAUGUGUAUUUAAUUUUUAAAUAAACAAUACACGCACAUGGUUCAAAAACACACGUUUUCAAUGCUGGUGACAUGUUUUGCCCCCACCCCUGUUGCCUGUCUCCCCGUAUCCCUCUGCCACGGGUGACAACUUUUAUUAGAGAAACUAUUCAUUCAAGUGAUUUUAGGCGUGAUCCAUUCCUAGACGGGAUGGCAGCGAAAGCACAUCUGUCUUCCAAAAUCCUGGGAGAACCCUCCCUGUCUUUAGACAGUGUAUCUGCCUGCUAGCCCACCAGUCACUCACAUUCUUACUACCACACUUUCUUAGAAGAAGCUUGGCACACGGUGGGGAUUGAUCUACCCUGGAAUUCAAAGCAGCCAUCGAUAAAAGCAGUAUUCCUUGCCCUCUUCUAGAGCUGACAUUGAGUUCCACAUAGCAGUAUUUAAUUUCCCAAUGGGAAGUUCCUCCUCAUAGCCGCAAAACUUAUCAGUCAGAACUCAACAGGACUGCCUCAUGAGGUGGUGAGCUCCCCAACACUGUAAGCAUUCAAGCAGGGACUGAACGACUACUUCCCGUGGCACUGUAGGAAAGAUGCCAGGUGGAAUCAUUUCAGGCCACUUCUCCUCUACACGUCCGUUAUCAUUAGUUAUGGUAUCCUUUUGCAGAAACAGUAACAAAAAGGAUAUUUUUCUCUGCUCUCUGGUGCAUCCGAAUUACCACAGCCUGGCUCAAUCCUCAUCCUCUCUCACUGGUAAUAACUUGAGAGCUGGUCUCCUUAUCUCUAUUUCUUUGAUCUCCAUCCACCACACUGGCAUCAGGACAUCUGAGUAGCCCAUUCUCCCGACGGACACCUUUCAAAGAUUCCGCAUGUCCUCGAGACAACUUCCAAUGCUGGGCUAGUGCUCACUAUGCCCCUAGCUCAGGAACUCUGGCCUCUCUCUGCAACCCCGUUCCCCACCACUCCUUGGGGCUCAUUCAGCUCAAAGCAGUACGAUUUCACGGUGUGUUUGGCCCAGAACCCUCCACCCUCCCCCUUCUACUUUUUCACGUGCCUAUUUCUUAUGUAUCUUCUUCCCUAGUGCUCUCCCCGCCCUUUGGCACAAAACACCCCGCCUUUGGGUUCUCCAAGUGCACCUUACCCAUGGGAUGAGAGACUCUUUCAGGCAAGGACUGUGUCUGAUUUGUUCAUCUUUGUGUUUCCAGCCCCCACCGCAUGCUUGACACCUCAUAGGUGCGGUAACAGCUGCGGAACUGAACAGCCAGAGCUGGGGAACCCUUAAUUACUGCAGAAUAGCUGUGCAUUUUUUGGAACAUAUUAAACAUCUCUCCGAGUCUGCCUAGGUUGCAGUCUUUCAUUAAAUAUGAGAUCGCUGGAUAUCAGAUAAAUAGCCUAUAACUCAAGAAUCUAUUCUGUUCCCAAGGAACUUGCCCAAAGUCACACAGCUAGAAAAAGAAGGAUGUAGAAAUCAAAUCCAGGUCAACUGAUUCCAGAGCCGGUAUCGUUAACCAUGAGACUCCACUGCCUUUAAAUUCUGAAGGGGCUAUUUCUCAGCCACCUGCAGUUUUACCAAUACCAGCAAAGCCAUCCAGACCUGUUUAGGAUGCUCCUUAUGGACGGAUUUGGCAUCCCCUGGCUUCCCCACCGUGGUUCUGGACCGUGGCCUCUGCUGACUGAUCUUGGGAAGAUUUUGACAACUGUCGCUCAUCACCCUAGGGAAGGGAACAAAGACCCUGGAGGAAAUUAUUCAAACCAUUUAAUUUGAGCCAUUUGCUGUCUGACCUUUACGCCUGCCACGUACAAACGUUUACUCAGAGACGAGCUGAGGACACCCAAGCUGUCAAGCUGCCUCCCUGAAGAGAAGCAAAGUGCUCGAAAGACAUUCACUUCUGGAAUGUUCUCCUAGAUGAAACCUGGAAAGAAAGGAAACUGGAAAGUAAAUAGUGGAUGAGCUCUCUUCCUCAUAAAACCCAGCACAUCUGCAGCCUUCAUUGUAAAGGCUUGCACGUUUCCAGAUCAGAGCUGCACAAUGGGGAGAUCAGACUGCCGGGCACAGAAAGGCGAUAUCAGUCCCCUGACAUGUGCGAUGUGAAGUUCUCAGUAUCACCUAUGAGGUAAAUGAAAGGAUUUGAUGUAAAUCCAUCAAGCCUUUAGAACCAACUUUUCUUUCUCCAGGGAUCGAGCCUCAGAGAUAGAGAUCUCAAGGAAGCAAUCAGACAAAUCUAGGAGGGGAGAUGUUCUGCAGAACGGUUCUCAUGGUUUCUGGAACAAGUCAGUGCUGUUGAAAAUAAAAAAGAAAAGAAGAGAACAAUAGAGAAAGUACGGGUGGGGGCUGUGGCAAUGCAAAGAGACUUCAGGGCUAUGACAACCAGAUACAAUGCAUGACUAGUUAGAGAACUGUCUAAGUUCUCUGGUUAGAGAACUAGUUGGUUAAAGAACAGUACUUACUAUAUGAUUUCAUUUUGAUAAAACGUGUGUGUGUGUAUGUAACUGUAUACACAUAGAAAAGGAUCUGGGGGGGUGUAUGGAUAUACACUAAGGUUCACCUUUGGUUAACGCCAUAGUGUCUCUGGGUUGUGGGAAUGUGGCGUUUUUAUUUUAUUUAUUCUCUUCAUUACCUAUCAUUUCUUUACGCUUGAUUUAUGAUUAUGGAAGUAAUCAUGCAACAUUAGAACUGCCAAUUGAUACUACUGAGAAUAUUGAAAAUAUAAAAACUGUCAGGAAUUCUUAAAUCUAAUAAAUUCUAAGACUUGGGGUAUCUUUAAACCUAAAAUGAUGGGGAAAAUCUAGACUAUAAGUAAACUACUAUUUAUAAUGUUAAGACAACUGGAAAGUGAAGGAAAAGUUGAAUAAUACUUAAAACAUAUACCCAUAGCAUUGUUCAAGAGAUUAAAAACUUUAAAUAUAAAAAGAUAAAGGAAGUGCAACCAGCGAGCUUUCCUGAUUUGGGCAAGGGGUCUGGCCAGGUGCAUUCCUGGAGAUCUGACUAGGAUCUAAUUGGAUCCAAUCCAAUCAAAGGAGCUAUAAUCAAUGCUGCCAUUUUAAGCUAAGACUAUUAAGUGAUUAGUUUUAGUUGUAAUAGUAGUAAUAAUAAAGUGCAGGGGCACCUCAAUGGCUCAGUUUCUUAAGUGUUGGACUCUUGAUAUCAGCUCAGGUCAUGAGCCCAGGGUUGUGGGAUGGAGACUCACAUCAGGCUUUGGCACUAAGCAUGGAGCCUGCUUACAUUCUCUCUCUCUC